CCUACGGGGGGCAGCAGUGGGGAAUAUUGGGCAAUGGAGGCAACUCUGACCCAGCAACGCCGCGUGAGUGAUGAAGGUCUUCGGAUUGUAAAGUUCUUUUAUAAGGGAAGAAGAAAGUGACGGUACCUUAGGAAUAAGCCCCGGCUAACUACGUGCCAGCAGCCGCGGUAAUACGUAGGAGGCAAGCGUUAUCCGGAAUGACUGGGCGUAAAGGGAGCGUAGGUGGUUAGACAAGUUAGGAGUGCAACGCCGGAGCUCAACUUCGGAACUGCUAUUAAAACGGUUGGACUUGAGUGCAGUAGGGGCAAUCGGAAUUCCUAGUGUAGCGGUGGAAUGCGUAGAUAUUAGGAGGAACACCAGUGGCGAAGGCGGAUUGCUAGACUGUAACUGACACUGAGGCACGAAAGCGUGGGGAGCAAACAGGAUUAGAUACCCUAGUAGUC
rnacentral:rRNA from 1 species